CCCCAGAGAGUAAGGACCAGGUCUUCUAUUUCUUUCUUACAUCCCUCCUCCUCACCCUGCUCUGUGUCUAGAAGAGAGCUGAACACGCAGUAGACACAAUAAAUUAUAUUCAAAUGGCAGUCAAGGAGGAAACUUUUCUUCCUCAUCAACAAAGCUGAUCGAUGGGGGCUGAAGCCCCAGGGAAGAAGCAUCUGUUGUAACUCAAGGAUCCCGGCUUGAGCUGAGGAUGGAAUUAACAGGCACAGAGUGGUUGGCAGCCCAACGUUUGUGCAAGUCUGGCACAUGCAC
rnacentral:lncRNA from 1 species